rnacentral:rRNA from 1 species
UACGGAGGGUGCAAGCGUUAUCCGGAUUCACUGGGUUUAAAGGGUGCGUAGGCGGGAAUGUAAGUCAGUGGUGAAAUCUCACGGCUCAACCGUGAAACUGCCGUUGAUACUGCUUUUCUUGAGUUCGGGAGAGGUUGAUGGAAUUCCAGGUGUAGCGGUGAAAUGCGUAGAUAUCUGGAAGAACACCAGUGGCGAAGGCGGUCAACUGGCCCGUAACUGACGCUGAGGCACGAAAGCGUGGGGAGCGAACAGG